rnacentral:misc_RNA from 1 species
GAGGAGGAGGAAGAAGAAGAAGAAUGUGAAAGUAAGUCACGUGCUCGUAGAAAUGCCCCAACUAGCGGGUCAAGAGCAAAUAAGAAGAAUUUGAAUGCAAGAGGGUCUUCUACGAAUGCUGGAACUGCAAGACAUAGGCUGGUUCAAAAACACCAUGGCAUGGCCAAAGACAAAGUGCAACUAAAAGAUCCUAAUAGAGAUAGGUUGAAUUCCUCUAAGAGCAAGAGGAAAUUAUUUACGGAAAGGAGGACAGCUACUUAAAUGAAGACUUAGUUUGUCUGUUGAAACCAAAAAUGGGCAGUGAUGCUGCAGAGAUGGUACAUUACAUUGAUCGCAAUUAUUUAUGACCAUCAAACACUUGUCAUACUCUUUGAUACGCCAGAGUACAAUGGCUUACAGUUGGCAACUCUCAAGAAUGCAUUGCUGAUGAUUGUUGAUCACAAAAUGAUGUGAUUGAUAAUUUGAAAAGAUCUUUCACUAUUCCUUGUCUCUUCUCCAAUCUUAAGGAAAUGCAUCAUGUUCUCAUGAUCUACAUUGCUCUGAUUUGAAGCUGCUAUUCAAAUUCUCUUUUCUGUAAGGUGGGUUGUAGAAGUCUUUCACUGUUUUGAUUUCUCAUUCAUAUCUCUUGCUCUUUCUCUUUCUUAUGCACAAUGAUGUUUUAACUUGUGUUUAAAUUUUCAGAUUGCUUUCUUAUUCGCCACUAUAUUUGUUGUGAUUUGCUAUGUUGCAGUUUCUGUGGCACAUUGGUAAUCAUGCAUAAUAUUUUAAACCAUCUUUAUUUUCUUUAUGCAAACUUCUCUUUGCAACUUAGGAAACCUACAUUUGCCGUUAAUCUUUGGCCAUUCUAUCAUAAUAUCUCUCUCUGUUGGCUAUGAAGAUUUCCUUGUUGCUUUUGCAUCCAUUAAACAUUGUUUGAAACAAAAAAGAAAAGGGAGGGGAUAAGUUUGAAGCUUAGUGGGAUGGCAAGUCGAUUAUCUUGUUAUGUAGAUAAGAUGUUGCAUACUCAAAUGGUUGGAUGGGAGUUAUCUCAAUUUGAUCACUGUUUGGUAUUUGGUUUAUUUUGCUCAUGAACAAUCAGAUAUGCAAUUUGAUGGCUCUUAGACUGGAAGUUUCAAGUCAAAUGAAUGGAGAGGAAGUUUAUGUUGAUGUGCUGCAUUGAAACAUAGAUGUUAAAAUAGGGUUCGGGGAAGUAUUUUGAAUUGGAGAUGAGAAAAUAAAGAUUUAUGCAUAGUUGGGAAUGCCUAUGGUGAUUAAUAUUUUGUGGCAUAGACUCUAUGAUACUGGGCUUGAUAAUCUACCAUACUUCAUGAGAUGGUGUCUGAGCAGUUGGCACUUGAAGGCUGUGUGGCCAAGUGGAUAUAUAUUUUGUGUCGCUAAGUGGAUAAAUAUUUUGUAUCGUAUGAUCAACUGCUUACCAGAUUGCUUCUAGGAUAAUAUUUUUU